rnacentral:miRNA from 1 species
CAAUAUGUUCAAAACUGAAAG